GCGUAGUCGAUGGACAACGGGUUGAUAUUCCCGUACCCGUGUGUGGGCGCCCGUGACGAAUCAGCGGUACUAACCACCCAAAACCGGAUCGAUCACUCCCCUUCGGGGGUGUGGAGUUCUGGGGCUGCGUGGGAACUUCGCUGGUAGUAGUCAAGCGAAGGGGUGACGCAGGAAGGUAGCCGUACCAGUCAGUGGUAACACUGGGGCAAGCCGGUAGGGAGAGCGAUAGGCAAAUCCGUCGCUCACUAAUCCUGAGAGGUGACGCAUAGCCGGUUGAGGCGAAUUCGGUGAUCCUCUGCUGCCAAGAAAAGCCUCUAGCGAGCACACACACGGCCCGUACCCCAAACCGACACAGGUGGUCAGGUAGAGCAUACCAAGGCGUACGAGAUAACUAUGGUUAAGGAACUCGGCAAAAUGCCCCCGUAACUUCGGGAGAAGGGGGACCGGAAUAUCGUGAACACCCUUGCGGUGGGAGCGGGAUCCGGUCGCAGAAACCAGUGAGGAGCGACUGUUUACUAAAAACACAGGUCCGUGCGAAGUCGCAAGACGAUGUAUACGGACUGACGCCUGCCCGGUGCUGGAAGGUUAAGAGGACCCGUUAACCCGCAAGGGUGAAGCGGAGAAUUUAAGCCCCAGUAAACGGCGGUGGUAACUAUAACCAUCCUAAGGUAGCGAAAUUCCUUGUCGGGUAAGUUCCGACCUGCACGAAUGGCGUAACGACUUCUCAACUGUCUCAACCAUAGACUCGGCGAAAUUGCACUACGAGUAAAGAUGCUCGUUACGCGCGGCAGGACGAAAAGACCCCGGGACCUUCACUACAACUUGGUAUUGAUGUUCGGUACGGUUUGUGUAGGAUAGGUGGGAGACUGUGAAACCUCGACGCCAGUUGGGGCGGAGUCGUUGUUGAAAUACCACUCUGAUCGUAUUGGGCAUCUAACCUCGAACCCUGAAUCGGGUUUAGGGACAGUGCCUGGCGGGUAGUUUAACUGGGGCGGUUGCCUCCUAAAAUGUAACGGAGGCGCCCAAAGGUUCCCUCAACCUGGACGGCAAUCAGGUGGCGAGUGUAAAUGCACAAGGGAGCUUGACUGCGAGACUUACAAGUCAAGCAGGGACGAAAGUCGGGAUUAGUGAUCCGGCACCCCCGAGUGGAAGGGGUGUCGCUCAACGGAUAAAAGGUACCCCGGGGAUAACAGGCUGAUCUUCCCCAAGAGUCCAUAUCGACGGGAUGGUUUGGCACCUCGAUGUCGGCUCGUCGCAUCCUGGGGCUGGAGCAGGUCCCAAGGGUUGGGCUGUUCGCCCAUUAAAGCGGCACGCGAGCUGGGUUUAGAACGUCGUGAGACAGUUCGGUCUCUAUCCGCCGCGCGCGUCAGAAACUUGAGGAAACCUGUCCCUAGUACGAGAGGACCGGGACGGACGAACCUCUGGUGCACCAGUUGUCCCGCCAGGGGCACCGCUGGAUAGCCACGUUCGGUCAGGAUAACCGCUGAAAGCAUCUAAGCGGGAAACCUUCUCCAAGAUCAGGUUUCUCACCCACUUGGUGGGAUAAGGCCCCCCGCAGAACACGGGUUCAAUAGGUCAGACCUGGAAGCUCAGUAAUGGGUGUAGGGAACUGGUGCUAACCGGCCGAAAACUUACAACA
rnacentral:rRNA from 2 species